UGGGGAAUAUUGCACAAUGGGCGCAAGCCUGAUGCAGCCAUGCCGCGUGUGUGAAGAAGGCCUUCGGGUUGUAAAGCACUUUCAGCGAGGAGGAAGGUGGUGAGCUUAAUACGCUCAUCAAUUGACGUUACUCGCAGAAGAAGCACCGGCUAACUCCGUGCCAGCAGCCGCGGUAAUACGGAGGGUGCAAGCGUUAAUCGGAAUUACUGGGCGUAAAGCGCACGCAGGCGGUUUGUUAAGUCAGAUGUGAAAUCCCCGGGCUCAACCUGGGAACUGCAUUUGAAACUGGCAAGCUAGAGUCUCGUAGAGGGGGGUAGAAUUCCAGGUGUAGCGGUGAAAUGCGUAGAGAUCUGGAGGAAUACCGGUGGCGAAGGCGGCCCCCCUGGACGAAGACUGACGCUCAGGUGCGAAAGCGUGGGGCAGCAAACAGGAUUAGAUACCCUGGUAGUCCACGCUGUAAACGAUGUCGAUUUGGAGGUUGUGCCCCUUGAGGCGUGGCUUCCGGAGCUAACGCGUUAAAUCGACCGCCUGGGGAGUACGGCCGCAAGGUUAAAACUCAAAGG
rnacentral:rRNA from 1 species